rnacentral:lncRNA from 1 species
AGUUGACUCCCGCAGGGUCCCGGCGCCGGCAGCCGUGCUGCGUGUGUUGGGUAGUGCGAGGCGGUCCAGUGCAGCGACAGUCCGGCUCGAGGGCGGAGGGCCAGCCGAAGCGGGGUGGUGGCCGCUGCCCCGGGAAAGACUGUCCAAGAUGCUGACAGGAGCUUUGGCUCGUGAGAUUGAGAGGAAGUCAGACGCCGUGGUCUGUGUAACCCCCCAGUAAGGUCCCCAGCUUGCAACCGAAUUCGGAACCUCUGUGGGAAUGAGCUUAUCUGCAAAGAUCAUCGUGAAGUUGUUAAAGAAGUUAAAUGGAAGACUCGCAAGAAAUUCAUCACAACAAAAAGCUAAACGUUUUUUUGGAUGAAGAUUUGUUAUCUGUGAGGUGUAUGAGGCCCAGGAGAGAUCCGGUUCAUUUUCUGAGAGAAGAUUUUUGGAAGGUUUAUAUGAAUUCUCAGUCACGCUGUACUUUCUGGUGUGAUAAAGCUAGGCAGUGGCAAGAAUGGCAACAGCCUGAAAACAUGCAAAAUUUCCAUGUUAUCAGAAAAACAGGAAAGGAUAAUGGUAGAUCUUACUUCUGAUGCCACUUGUUUAUUAUAUUUAAUAAGCUGACACGAUCCUGUCUAGUGAAAAUCCCUGCACGCAGUGCCCCUUGGGCUUGCUGAACAAGGGUAACAUGCCACCGGAAGUAUAUAAUGAUACCAAAAGAUGAAGUCCAUCAGUCAGUCACCUUCGUGAUAAUAUCUCCAAGGGACCUAGGGAAAUAGUGAGGCUUAUGCAUAUAAAGAGACACCAUAUGAGGCAGAAAUUAGGUGACUUGAACAGCAUUCUGCUUUAGAGUUGUUUUGAAAAUACUCCCGGCCGGGCGCGGUGGCUCAUGCCUGUAAUCCUAGCACUUUGGGAGGCCAAGGCGGGCGAAUCACUAGGUCAGGAGUUCGAGACCAGCCUGACCAACAUGGUGAAACCUCGUCUCUACUAAAAAUACAAAAAUUAGCCAGGCGUGGUGGCAUGUACCUGUAAUCCCAGCUACUCAGAAGGCUGAGGCAGGAGAAUCGCUUGAACCUGGGAGGCGGAGGUUGCGGUGAGCCGAGAUCGCGUCAGUGCACUCCAGCCUAGGUGACAGAGCGAGAUUUCUUGUCUCAAAAAAAAGAAAGAAAGAAAAUACUCCCAAGUCAGAUUUUUUUUUUUUUGAGACAUAGCCUCACUCUCUCCCAGGCCGGAGUGCAGUGGUACAAUUAACAGCUCACUGCAGCCUCAACCUCCCAGGCUCAAGAGAUCCUUCCAUCUCAGCCUCCUGAGUAGCAGGGACUACAGGCAUACACUGCAAUGCCAGGCUAAUUAAAAAAAAAAAAAUUUGUAGGCCGGGCACGGUGGCUCAGGCCUGUAAUCCCAGCACUUUGGGAGGCCGAGGCAGGCGGAUCACGAGGUCAGGAGAUUGAGACCAUCCUGGCUAACACGGUGAAACCCCGUCUCUACUAAAAAUAGAAAAAAUUAGCUGGGCAUGGUGGCAGGUGCCUGUAGUCCCAGCUACUCAGGAGGCUGAGGCAGGAGAAGGGCGUGAACCCAGGAGGCGGAGCUUGCAGUGAGCCGAGAUCGCGCCACUGCAGUCCAGCCUAGGCGACAGAGAGAGACUCUGUCUCAAAAAAAAAAAAAGGAAAAAAAAGCAUAUUUUGUAGAGACUGGGAUCUCACUAUGUUGCCUAGGCUGGUCUCAAACUCCUAAGCUCAAGCAAUCCUCCCACCUCAGCCUCCCAAAGUGCUGGGAUUAUAGGUAUGAAUGCCCAGCCCCAAAUUAGGUCAUUAAGAGCAUUCCAGAUCAUUAAAAUUAUCUAGGGAGAUAAAAACACACAGGAUUGUUCAUCAGUGUAGGAACACCCAAAAGUAAUCUUCAAUUGUUUACUUGUAUCUUGGUAACCAAAGACCAUUGUGUUCUUCAGAACCAGUAAGGGGCAUGCAUGCUGAAACAUGAAUAGUAACUCAUACUACACAAACAGCCAGUGCACUCUGACUUCACGUCCUAGCCCUGUGCAGGUGCUUUACAUGCAUCAAUUCAUUAAAUCCUUACGACAACCCUCUGCAGCAGGUACUAUUAUUACCCCACUUUAUUUUAUUUUUAUUUAUUUAUUUAUUUUUUUGAGACAGGGUCUCACUGUUGCCCAGGCUGGAGUGCAGUGGUGCGAUCUCGGCUCACUGCAACCUCCGCCGCCCAGGUUCCAGUGAUUCUCUUGCCUCAGCCUCCUGAAUAGCAGGGAUUACAGGCGUCUGCCACCAUGCCUGGCUAAUUUUUGCAUUUUUAGUAGAGGCAAGGUUUCACCAUGUUGGCAAGGCUGGUCUUGAACUCCUGACCUCAAGUGAUCCAUCUGCCUCGGCCUCCCAAAGUGUUAGGAUUACAGGCAUGAGCCACUGUGCCCGGCCUUAUUGCCCCACUUAAGAAAUGAGGAAACUGGCCAGGUGCAGUGGCUCACACCUGUAAUCCCAGCACUUUGGGAAGCUGAGGUGGGCGGAUCACAAGGUCAGGAGAUCGAGACCAUCCUGGCUAACACGGUAAAACCCCGUCUCUACUAAAAAUACAAAAAAUUAGCUGGGCGUGGUGGCACGUGCCUGUAAUCCCUGUGACUUGGGAGGCUGAGGCAGGAGAAUCUAUUGA